AUGUUAGAAGUUGCAAAUGGCAAGAAAGAGAUAUUGCAUUCGGUUGACCGAUGUAUGUCUUCAUUGACCAAUCUAAUACUGAACCUAGAGUACCCAGAGACAUCAUAUGCUAGGCGCAUUCCCAUUGUACCGGUGGGCAUCAAGGAGAAAAGGAACCAAAAGUCCCCUCUUAGAGUCAUGAAGCUAAGAUGCUGCAACUUAUUCUUUGGGUCAGGUGCACUAGAGCCGUGGGACUAUUUUGUACACCUUCAAGAUUUGGAAAUUGAUAGAUGCGCUAUGUUUGUCCACUGGCCGGAGGAAGUGUUCCAAAGCUUGGCAUCCUUGAGGAGAUUAGUGAUUACACGCUGUUCACGUUUGACUGGAUAUGCAUGA
rnacentral:rRNA from 1 species